GUGCUCGCUUUGGCAGCACAUAUACUAAAAAUUGGAACGAUACGGAGAAGAUUAGCAUGGCCCCUGCACAAGGAUGACACGCAAAUUUGUGAAGCGUCCCAUAUUUUU
rnacentral:snRNA from 1 species